rnacentral:rRNA from 1 species
GACGAACGCUGGCGGCGUGCUUAACACAUGCAAGUCGAACGGAAAGGCCCUGCUUGCAGGGUACUCGAGUGGCGAACGGGUGAGUAACACGUGGGUGAUCUGCCCUGCACUUCGGGAUAAGCCUGGGAAACUGGGUCUAAUACCGGAUAGGAGCCAUUUUUAGUGUGAUGGUUGGAAAGUUUUUUCGGUGUAGGAUGAGCUCGCGGCCUAUCAGCUUGUUGGUGGGGUAAUGGCCUACCAAGGCGGCGACGGGUAGCCGGCCUGAGAGGGUGGACGGCCACAUUGGGACUGAGAUACGGCCCAGACUCCUACGGGAGGCAGCAGUGGGGAAUAUUGCACAAUGGGCGCAAGCCUGAUGCAGAGACGCCGCGUGGGGGAUGACGGCCUUCGGGUCGUAAACUCCUUUCGCUAGGGACGAAGCUUUUUGUGACGGUACCUAGAGAAGAAGCACCGGCUAACUACGUG